rnacentral:rRNA from 1 species
AUUGCACGCUGGCGGCAGGCCUAACACAUGCAAGUCGAACGAGUGGCGGACGGGUGAGUAAUGUCUGGGAAACUGCCUGAUGGAGGGGGAUAACUACUGGAAACGGUAGCUAAUACCGCAUACCAUCUGAUGUGCCCAGAUGGGAUUAGCUUGUUGGUGGGGUAACGGCUCACAAAGGCGACGAUCCCUAGCUGGUCUGAGAGGAUGACCAGCCCCAAUGGAACUGAGCCACGGUCCAGAAACCUACGGGAGGUAGCAGUGGGGAAUAUUGAACAAUGGGCGCAAGCCUGAUGCAGAAAUGACGAGUGUAUGAAGAAGGCCUUCGGGUGGUAAAGUACUGUCAGCGGGGAGGCGUUAGCAGCAGAAGAAGCACCGGAUAACUCCGUGCCAGCAGCCGCGGUAAUAC